rnacentral:lncRNA from 1 species
UUUUUUUUUUUUGAAAGAGUCUUAUCUAUGUCAAUGACAUGUCUACAAUGUUAUAAGCCAUAUAAGCUAGCAUUUUAGGCAAAAAUACAAAAGAAAGCAAUUUUGUUCAUCAACUUCUAAUUUUGUAAUGCUCUUAAGAUUCUUUGUUUUUUUUUAGUCAUAGUAUGCUUUUAGGUUUAUAUUGUUAUCUUUAUAGGAAUCAAUUAGCUCAAAAGUAAUGUUUCCCUCUUCUAUACUAGACAAUCAAGUAGGAUAUUGUAACUCCUUCAUUACAUCAAAUAUUAUUUUUUAUGCAAUUGAAAUGCUAGCAAUGCAUAUGUCUUCAAAGAUAAAUAUCCAAAUAAUAAAUUCACUUGUACAUAUCUAUUGAGAUUGUAGCAUAUGUAGUUUCUAAUUGCAAGUAUCAAUACAAUAUUUUACAAUGUAUCUCAUUUGAUUGGACUUGAUAAAAGAUGUUUCAAAAUGGUUGUUGAUUGCAUUACAAUAAAUAUCUUACUUUAAUGUAUUACUACUUAGGAAAACAACACCCAUAGUAUGACACAUGAUCAUUCUAAAUUCAAAGGUGAUGUAUGCAUGCUUGCAUAUGCCUAAUCAUAUAUAAAAUCUACUUAUGAAUAAACACUACAUAAUUUCACUAAAUCACUUACACAAAGAUAAUCAAAUUUGACUUUCAAUAUAGAAAUCAUAAAAAAAUUAUUACUUAUAGUAUUUGAUUUUUUAUUCUUAUAAAUUAGUGCAUGUCUUGGCUACAUAAUUCUAAUAGUAGAGGCCUAGGUCCAAAAGCAUUGUCAUCUAUAAUUACAUGAUUUAUAAACACUAACAACCUGAUAGUCUAAAGAUUUGUGUAAAGUCAUGUAUUAGUACAUAUCAACAUCAAUGCUUGAUUCCGAACUUCAUGAAGUCUCCAACCUUGAUUUUGAUUCAAAUCUUAUUCUCAAUGGAAUUGCAUUGUACAUUUGCUUAAUUCAAGCACAUCAUGUGUUUGUCAAUCCAUAGAUGCAAAAUUAAUGAAUUGUAGAGUAAUGUGAAGCAUGUCCUUAAGGCUUAUAGCUACAAAUGUCAAAAACGGGGAAUCAAUUGAUAAGAUAGUUGGAAGUACUUUUUGGUUAAUGCAAUAGAAUCAAAACACAUGAUUUAAUACUAUCAAUAUUACAAAUGUAGCAAUAUUUAAACAAUUGUAUUAUCAUCCUACCACUACCUAAAAAGAAUUGCAAAAAAUGUUAUGAUUUAUUUUGAUGCAGAUUCAAUUAAUACUUACUUUUGUACAAACUUGCAACUAGGUCUAUCUUUAUUCAAAGCAUCAACCUAAGCUAGCAUGACACAGAAGAUGAUGUUUGAUCAUGAAUUCAAGCUUUGGUGGUAUUCAUUAGUAUGAUCAUUAAGCGGAAUUGCCAAUCAUACUUGUUCAUAUAUGAUACAUAAAUCAUUGUUGGUAAUAUCCAUUAAUAUGCAAUAUAAGAAUCAUUGGUAAUAAUAUAUGUUCAUAUACAAUGCAAGAUAUGCAUCAGAAAUUAUCAAAAGUAAGAGGAUAUUUAUAAUAUUUUAGGAUACUCCAAGGAUAAAUCUGAAAUUUUUUUAAGUUUUAAAGGUUAAAUUUUUAAUAUGAUAUACUUUUGAUAUUCUUUUAUUGUAUAUAAAAUCGUUAUUUAAAAAAAAGUAAAUAAAACAAAAUUACUAAAAAUAAUUAGGGUCUAAAAUUCUUGGUUAAUCACAAUUAGUUAUUUAGUGUGAAUUUUUUAUUAUAAAAUUAGAAUAAAAUUAAUAGCCAUAUAUGUUAUGUAGUAAAAUAUUUUUUUGUUAUUUUAUAUUAUAACAUUAAAAUUUAAAAUGCCAACUAGCUUUCAAACAUGCUCAAAACAAUUUAUUUGUUGACAUAUGUAAAUAUUUCUAAUAUUUGUUUUAAAUGUCUAGAAAAACAUUUAUGCCUUACAAAACUUUAUUCAAGAGUUCUCACAAUUUUUAUUAAAAUUCUGAAAUAUUUCUAUUUAAACUGUUUACAAUUGAUUCUUUAAAAUACUAUAUAAAACAUAUUGAUUAUAAAAAUAAUUCUAAAUCAGCUUUCACUCAAAUACAUUCAUAGAUAUUUUACUUAUUUUUGUCAUAAAUAUAGCCAAUUACUAUAUUUUUUUUCAUGUAAAAUAAAUUGCUACAUAAAGUAUUAUAUAUAUAUAUAUAUAUAUAUAUACACUCACACACAUAUUUUUUUUAUUCCUUUUAUUUUAUUAAACAUCAAUUAGAUCAUAGUAUGUUAUUAAGAAAACUUGUUUAAAAAGAAAAAACAACAGAAACAAGAAGUAAGUGUAUAAAAUACCAAAAUUAGACAUUUCUUUUAUAACACAUCCUACUUCUUAUGUUGUAUAAUUAUCAACUAAUAUUUAGAUAAAAUAUUUACUAUAAUUAUCAAUAUAUGAAUAACCAAGAGAUAUAUAUAUAUAUAUAUAUAUAUAUAUGUACAAUUUAGUAUUUUAAAUCAAUUUAAAAUGGUAUGAUUGUUAUUUGCUUUCUAUAUUAUAUCUAAACAUGUUUUAUGUUGGAUGUAACAACCUUGCUAAGCAUAGAUUAACUAUGUUUUAUUUUUAUAUUUUUGCAUUAGCUUAAGUAAAUUUUUUUCAUAAAAAAUAAAACGAUAAAAAAUGGAUAAUACACUCAUAAUACACUCAUAUACCAUCUUUUAUUACCACAACUCUUCUAGCCCUUUUGUCUCUUUCUUUGUAAACAUGAUUCUUGUUUAGUUUGUCUUCAUAGUUUCUACAUAUUUUUGCCAAUAUAUACAACAACAAUCAAACUAAAUAACAUUUGAUUAAUAAGUUGUUAGAACUUUGACAUAGAAGUAUUAGGCUAGUGCAUUAAAAAGAUCAAUGUUAAUUUAUACACAAAUAGACAAUAAGAAACCUGGAGAUUAUAAUUUUUAAGUUUUGAAAAGAUUCUUUGUAAUACUUGUAUUUCUAGAUACAAUAAUAUUUCAAGAUAUGUAUAUAUAGAUCAUAAAAUUGUGCUUACCCAAAUUCAAUCAACAAAGAUAUCUAUAUCUAUAUAUAUAUAUAUAUUUAUAUGUGUGUAUAUACAUAUGUAUAUGUAUAUUUUUCUUUUUAUGUUUUUGCUGACUGAAUAUUUAUAGGAAUCUUCUCAACAUCGAGAAGUAUUAAGUUUUGGUUAAUUAUCUUAGUCAUUUUGGUCAAUUUGUAGUUUUAAUCGUUGUGAUGUUAAGGUGAUGUGUACGACUUUUUGUAAUUAAAAAUAGGUAGAGCAGCUAUUAUCCUUAUUUUAUGCUGAAUGAUAACUAUGUCUUGAUGAAUGCGAAGUUUGUCUAGAUCAAUGUUCAUAAUCUCAACGUCAAUCUCAUUGUCAAGAAUACAGACUUCCUUACCUUCUUGCUCCGACAUAGAACGCUAAGGUGCACGAUUCUGUUAAAUUUGAUAUUUAGUGAAUUUAUAUGUGAUUGUGCAAUGGGAUAGUGAAUUGGUAUGUGCAGUUGAAAUUAUUCAACGUAUAUUCGCCUCGCUCUGACAUAGUGUAUACCAUACAGGUGUAGAAGAUUUUUCAACAUGUGUACAAAAAGAGUGCGAGUGUUAGAUAUUUUCAUUCACAUGGCAACUGGUAGAAUGAGACACAUUUGGGUUCACUAAAUAUUGUGUCUUAUGAUAAGGAAGGUUUGUGUCAUAAGAGAGUGAGCUUGCAAUGUGUAAGUGACAAUUGGUAGAACACGUGGAGAAAAAAAAAGUAAUACAUUGUAUGAAAGCAUGCUACUUCGUGAAAUAUUUUGAGUAUCCCGUUGGCAACAUCUUCCGCAGAACUGUGAGUUUCAAAUAUGUCAAUAUUUUACUCCCAGAGGAAGAUCAGCGUGUCAUUAUUUCACAAUGGAACGGAAUAAAAAUAGAUAGAAAACGAUACACUUGGGAAAUUCACAGUAUACAUUCAUGAAUACCCAUAGCCAGAAGACUGAGGUCUCGAAGUAUUGUUUCAGAAGUUUCAAAUCUUCGUAUAAGAGACACAUGAACAAUGUCCGAAAAAAGAACUCACAGGUAUCAUGUCGUUCCAGCGUUCUAAGUUUCACCUUAGAUAAAAUACAGAACGACUCUGCCAGAAAGAGCUAAAGCCCCGCCGGAAGUUCAUCCUACUACAGUGAGACCAAAAUCUUAAGACAUCCUUACAAGAAACAGAUCAGAACGAGCUCAAGGCAAAAAAAUAUCAGAGUACCACGGGUGGUUAUCCUACUUCAGGAACAGUGAAGGACGAUCCGUUGCUCUGCACUGCAGAAAGAGCACAAAAACAAACAAGUAACAAGAAACAAGUCGACAAACAUGUCGCCACUAACGCGACCUGCAGGCAGGUCCAGCGACCCCCGCAGAAAGGACAGUUAAAUCUCAAGUGGCUUUCCCCAGUGAACAGUUGCAUCUCUCCCGGCCCCAAACAGUAAAAUCCUUCAGUGUCUUUCCCUUCGGCAACCCCCUUGCAGUAGUCUUGUCACCAGUUAUCCGAUCCGAGACCCGCAGAUUUCCGAGCGCAGAGCGUCAUCCAUUCGUGAAUCCGGAAUGUUACUUAAACCACCAGAGGCUUCAACCACCUUUGACGGCUCUAAUAAUCGCUCUGGCGUUCGAUCCUCCAGUUCCCGGAACCCCCGCCACCUCCGCGACCUCCAUAACCACUGCCACCACCUCCGCGGCCUCCGUAACCACCACCGCCUCCACCCUCACGAUCUCCAUAGGACGGGCGACUUCCGUACCCACCACCACCACUCCCACCGUAGCUACCACCACCUCCACCAUAGCCGCCACCACCUUCACGGCGUCCACCACCGCCUCCUCCGUAGCCACCACCUCCACCGCCGCCUCCUCCACGGGACUGCGCUUGGUUCACAGUGAUGUUACGCCCGUCCAACUCCUUUCCAUUCAUUUCUUUAAUAGCUUCGUUCAUGGCGUUCUCGUCAGCAAACGUGAUGAAACCGAACCCGCGAGACCUUCCAGUUUCCCUGUCGGAGAUUACCUUGCUCUGAAUAACAUCUCCGAAAGGACGGAACGCUUGCUCCAAACGGUCGUCGGUGGUGGCCCAAGCCAGGCCCCCGACGAAGCACCUAAAUUCUUCUCCCAUCUUGAUAGUAUGAAGUGUUCGAAAAAAACGGACAAGUAACAAAGAGGCGCAGGGUGAACCCUGAAUGCCUCGGAGAUCAGAGAAAAGGAGACCAGAGUAGAGGCAAGAGAG